rfam:Haemonchus placei strain MHpl1 genome assembly, scaffold: HPLM_scaffold0008234
GGCCCAAAUUUGGGGUACAGUAGAUUAGUAGGGUCAGCUGAUAUUACUAAUCUACUCUACUUCAAAUUUGGACCC